GUGAUCCGUGCUCUGCUCAUUGCGCGUUUCCAGAACCGCACAAAACCCACUCCACACAAGGAUGCGGUGCAUUUUGCUUCAAACACAGAGGGAGAGGAAAACACUCGAGUCUCUUGUUUGGAACAUCUGUGGGCUUACACGGAGCAAAGACCUUUUCUGCUUUAUCCCACUGCCCAGCUGGAGAGGAACCUGGGAGUACGUGGGAGGCUGGGGAGAGACCCAAGCUGACCAAAGGGACAUUCCAGACCCUCUGACAUCCUGCUCAGUACUUCAUGCUGCGUGCAAGAAGGGGGAAGGAGGGGACAUUUGGGGUGAUGGCAUUUGUCCUCCCAAGACCCUGUGAGGCCUGAAGGUGCCCUGCUGCCCUGGAGAUGCAAAACACCUGCCUGCCAAUGGGAAAUGGUGAAUGAGCUCUUUGGGGGCUUUUGCUUGUGUGUGUGGUUUCUGCAUUCCCUAUGCAACUGAAUUAUUCUCCACCUGUGAGUUUUCCAGCUUUUACCCUUCCAGUUCUCUGCCCAGUCCAUCCUGCUGGUGGGACAUUAGGCGAGAAUGGCUGUGUGUGGUGCUGGGUUGGUGAAUGGGGUUAAACCACAACUCACAGCCACAGUUUUUCCAUUCCUUUUUGACAUGAAAUUUCUGUGUAAAAAACCUCCCAGUCCUCUUUAUUUGCAAAAAUAGCCGAAUGUACAGCUUUAACCUAGAGGGAGGCAGACAAUUAGAGGAUAUUGAGAUUUCUAAGGAUGCCUUCCCAUUUUUAUGUUCUAUCAUUGAAUGUUAAUAAUGAAAAUUUUUGGAAUGCAACAUCAUAUGCCUGAAAGCAGAGAGUUCCACAGAUAUGAUCCUUAAAUUUAUUUUUAUUAGUACUCACUGUACCGUGUCAUGUGUACUUCCCCUUUCUGGAUGUUGUAUAUGUUGUAUAACCAUGCAAAUUAUUUCACCAAAAAUAAUUUUCUGUAGAGGAAAUGGAUACUCCUAAAGACACAGUACCAUAUUCCUGUCAUUGGUCUGGAAUUUAAACCCUGUUUUCUCUCAUAAAUGGAUGUAAAAAUCCAAGAUAUAGUGUCUGUAAGAGGUAAGUAUGUGUUCUGAAAAUCAAAUUGUUGAAUUUUCUUUUUUUUUCAAUAAUAUAUCUUUCUAGAGUUUUCCAUCAUAAUGAAUGAAUGUUUUUUCCUGCAUUCAGUUAUUUUUUUUCCUGCAUUCUAAUUCUAUUUGGGUUUUGGGGCUGUUUUUUGGGAUUUUUGUUGUUGUUGUUGUUGUUGUUGUUGUUGUUUUUUGUUCAACACAUUUUUUCCUUCAGUCAGACAAGUCCGUCUGGUCUGUGUCAAACCUAUGUUUUACUUGGCAAGGUCUUCAUGAGUUCCUUCCAUUAAAUGAAAAUCUAUAGGAGCAGUGUGUUGACAGCCUGUGUAACAACUCAGAGGCUUCUGUUCACAAAAUAAAUUCUCUAUGUGUUGAAGAACUCGUAAACUUUCUUUUCCAAAAUUGUGUCUGUUACAUGAUCAAGGUAUUCACAAUAUUAAAAUAACUGUGCCAUGAUUAGUACUUUGAUUGCUAAUAAUGAUCAUGAUUAUCACCAUAAAGAUUCUUUUUAUUCAUACUUAAUCAGCUAACAAUCCUGACAUUUUGCUUUGUCACAUGAAAGGUGGGGUUUUCAAGUGAUUGAGAUGACUUUUAUAUGUUCAUUUAUAUGUUAGAUAUUAACAAGGAGUAAUAAAUAUGCAAAUAAUUUCUUAGGGAAACUGAAUUCUCUGUUAAGAUUAAGCACCUUUUGAAAGCACUUGAGACACAGCCACUGUUAGUCCCAUAUGUGGACAGGAGAAAAAUGGUGUGAAUAUUUGUGUGAUUAACAGACUUGAUAAGGAGUCAGAGAUCUGAAGACCAUCCAAAGUGGUGUCAGGAAGCAGUUGUGAUAGAGUUAACUUUAGCAGCUGCAGCAUCAAACAAACUCAAGACACUCUUCUACUGUGGCCAGUGCAGAGCCCUUUGUAUUCUCUAGAUCAUACAACAAGAGAGAAAAGGAGCAGCAUUCUGAGCAUGUGCUUUCUUACCUACAUUGAAACUUGGAUUUUCAUAUGUCGCAUGUCCUUUCUCCCUUAGUCUCUUUGUCAUCAAGAAAAGAAAAAAAACAAAAACAAACCUAGAAACCCUUGUUUAGCAACUAAUUCCAAACUGGGUAUGUAAUUCUGGAAAGCCUUUCAGCCAGAGGAUCAUUGCUCAGCCCAAUCCCUUAACCCAGAUGUAACCUCACCAAGUGUUUAACGGAGUUCUAAAUUUUUUGUCCCAAAUUCUGCCAAGAGGAGCCUCACAAAAGGGAAGGCAUUUCAGCCUUCAAACCCUAAAUAUUUUGCCUUUAUUUACUUCUGUAGGGAUUUCUCAGUAUUGGGGGAUUUCUCAAUAUUUAACAUUCUUAUUGUCUAAAAUCCCAGAUUAGUCCUGUUCUUCAUUAACUUUCUUCUGAUUUAUAGCAUCCUCUUUUCCUAGGCACUUGGUAAUUCAGAAUAAUGGAUUUAGAUCAUGAUCUUCUAUUUCUUAAUUGUCAUCAAACUGAAAAGUUAAUUUCAAAUGAAAGAUGUAUGAAACCUUACUGUAAUAUAGAAAUAUUACAGUAAUAUUUAUUAUGUAAUAUUUAUUAUGGCAGAUAAAUUAGAAAACUUGCAAGACAAAAAUUGACUUCCAAAACCAAAGAAACCACAGACUUUCAUGUGUGUAUCUAGACAUGCUAACUCAUGAGUCAAAAGUAAAGAUUAUGUUUGAUUAUAUGAAUUGUUCUUUAUGUUUGAUAAAUAAACCAGGAGAGAUUCUCGUUUUAUUAUGCUGAAUAGCUUUUUUGCAGAAACCUAUUGUGCCUUUUGGGAAAUAAGGUGCUCCUCAGCAAGGUAAAGUGCACAAUGACCUUUACUAUCAUGUUCUGUGUUAUAAGGGGACAGUAAGGUCAUCAUUCCUUGUGUAAAAUUUCUACAAGUGCUUGGAUUUUGUGGGUUAGUUUCUUGUUGCCAUUUAACUUAUGCAAUCAAUUUGGGAUUUUUUCCUUCUCCUGGAAAUAAAUACACCACGACACUAACUGGUGAUGCCAUAAAGAGCUGUGAAUUAAUAUGCCCGAAUCUUUUAAGUGUACUAUAAUUCUCAGGAAAAUCUUAGAUUGGUUCACACUUUAUUCUGCAAUAUUCUCAAUGUACAGUAACCAUUUUUCUGUGCUAUUUUACACUGGUUUUUCUACAAACUUUGCGUAGCAAUGCUAUUGCCUUUCAGGAGGCCAAGUGAUAAGUGGAUAGCAAAAGGAUCUGCCUCAUAUGCAAUCUGAAAAAGUAAUCAGCAAGUAGUUUAAGUCCAGUGUGAAGAGUCGUAAAUUGCAAUUUGAGUUUUAGGGCAUGUCUAUAAGGGACAAUCUAACAGUACAAAGUCAUGGCCUAUAAAUGGAAUUUUUUUAUUUCUAUCAACUUUUACAUAUGAAAAAAAGUUAUUUAAACUAAUUUUUCACUGUUGCUUUCAGAUAGUUUCCAUCCUCAUUCUGAUCUUAAGGUCUAUGCAUCUAGUUAAAAAUACUCUUAUACAACAACUCAUUUAAUGUAAGGGAGAAAUGCUUUGCAUGAGGAUGCUAAGUUAUUUUGACUAUGUGCUUUAAAAUCAGCUUUUGCCUUUUUUAUCCUGUUACUGAAAAUUACUUACAAAAAUGCUUUUCAAGCAAAAAUAUUAGUGGUCCUUGAACAAGUGCUCUAAAGUUCAUUUAGCAUCCUUUAUCACAAGUUGCAGAAAUAAUGGGAUAUUUAGACUUUUAACUAAGAGAAAAAUGAAAUUAGUAUUUCAGCUGCUGUCCAAGAGAAGAGGUAUAACUGGUAUAACUAACCCAAACCCCCAGAAUGAUUCUGCUCUUCACUGAGGUUUUUCUAUUAGGAAAAACCUUCCUGAAUUACAUUCUAUACCUCAGCAAGGACAAUUUUGUAAGCAGAAGCAGCAAAAUGCACAAGAGAAAUCACCAGGUAUUGGCAGUUUUCUCUGCAGUCUUGGAAAGAGUUACUUAGAGCACAGUGCUCCUCUCAAGAAGAAGAGAUCUCUCUGAAAUAUGGAUAGAAUUAGCAAGGGAUUUUACCAUUGUAACCACUUGGAGCUGCACCUGGAGCUGAAGUAACCAGGAAAACUGUGUGAAAUAUAAAACAGGUCACUGUAGUGAGGGCCUUCUUAGGCUGACCUCCUUAGGUGCUUUUUUGAACACAACUCCAAGAAGUAUGAUAAAUCCAUGGUGGUGAUCUAAUCUUACUGCUGCAGAGGUUUAACAUUCAAAACAGUGAAGUCUCCAUUUAAAGCCAAGUAUCACCACCUAAUAAAGGCCAUAGUGGAAAAGCUGAGGGACUUUUUCAUUUAAGAAAUAGUAGCUUAUUCAAUCCAUAGAACUACCAGCUUCACCAUCCAUUUUAGAUGGAAGUACUUCCCGUUGAGUAAAAUCAUGAUCAUAUUCUUUCUCUAAUGAUGAUGGCGUGAAGGAUCCCAUCAUGCAGAUAGGGGAAAUCCUAAUUUUUUACUAACCCUGGAAGAACAGUAAGUUGAAAGUCAGCCAGAGAACAAAAUAGAUUGUUAUUUUCUUCUAGUAAACAUUCAGAAAACUGCUGUGUUACUCCAAAGGGGAAAGGUGUCUACAACAGAUCAUGUUCUUUUGCAGCUCUGCUGUGAUCAGCAGGGAAAAUAAAAUCAUGCAAAAAAGGUGUCACUCCCAUCCACAGUACUGAGUAGAAAAAAGCUGAUAUUAAGAAUAGAGCUUUUUUCCCCACAUAUUCCAGGAAGUGGCAUAAUUCAAUUAUGUUUUAUUAAUAUAUAGACAUUAUAUUAGAGAAUAUUUAAGGACAAAAAUUUCAUAAUAAGCAUUGAUACAUUAAAAUUGAGCAAAAUAAAGUUUGUCUUUUAUACACUCCUUUUAACAAAGCCUAGUGACCACAUAGAAAGGAAACUGUACUAAUAGAAUUUUCAAAAAAAUACUACUUCAGUGGUAUAGACUGGAUAGGAAAUCUGAGCCAAAUUAAAUCUGUCGACCAUUUCCUAGAUAUUAUGGAGCCACAAGAUUCUGCCUUAAUUGCACAGAGUUAGUUAGUGUUAGGUCGGCAACUGUGUUCCAAGAAAGCAGUGAUAUUUUAAACCAAGUAGACUUUCCAGAUGACAGAAACAGUUAAGUAAGCAUUGUAAAUUACAUAGAUGAUUGUCAACAAGGAGAAAGACAUUUCUUUCCAAUGUCAAAAACAAUAUUUCCUAAUUUAAAUUUUAAAAAAUAACCCGAAGUGAUUUUCUGGGAAAGAUACAGUCUUAACAAAUUUACCAAGAAAGCAUUGUAGUCGUUGUGCUAGCUUGAGCUAAUAUGAUGAUGGUUUAUUCUCAUAAAUA